GACGAACGCUGGCGGCGUGCCUAAUACAUGCAAGUCGAGCGGACUGAUUAAGAGCUUGCUCUUAUGACGUUAGCGGCGGACGGGUGAGUAACACGUGGGCAACCUGCCCUGUAGAUCGGGAUAACACCGAGAAAUCGGUGCUAAUACCGGGUAAUAUCUGAGAUCACAUGAUCUUAGGUUAAAAGAUGGCUCCGGCUAUCACUACAGGAUGGGCCCGCGGCGCAUUAGCUAGUUGGUAAGGUAAUGGCUUACCAAGGCGACGAUGCGUAGCCGACCUGAGAGGGUGAUCGGCCACACUGGGACUGAGACACGGCCCAGACUCCUACGGGAGGCAGCAGUAGGGAAUCUUCCGCAAUGGACGAAAGUCUGACGGAGCAACGCCGCGUGAGUGAUGAAGGGUUUCGGCUCGUCAAGCUCUGUUGUUAGGGAAGAAACAGUACCGAACGAACUAGGUCGGUACCUUGACGGUACCUAACCAGAAAGCCACGGCUAACUACGUG
rnacentral:rRNA from 1 species